CCGGUCACGCUGAAGAAGAUGACGACACUGCCAGGUGGGCCCCGGGUGUCAGCGGGUGGAAAGAGGGGGCGCGCCUGCUGCAGUGGGGUCCGCGCGUCAGCCAAACAAGGAGAGAAAGGGGGAUCAGGGGCGCGCGCGGCUUGGGCCGUCUGCUGGGCUGGUCUGCGGGUUGGGCCGAAGGGGAAAGAAAAGGGGUGCUGGCUGUGUUUUUUUUCUUUUCUAUUUUCUUUAAAAGCCAUUUCAAACUCAUUUCAAAAUCCUUUUUAAAUCUGUUUGAAAUAUUUUAAACUUUUGUCAAACGCACACACAUCA
rnacentral:lncRNA from 1 species